CAAGAGGAAAAACUUUAAUUGACAUGAACCCAUCUGGAUGGGACCCUUCUUUAUUAGUAGUUUAGGUAUAAGCAUGUGCCUCAGUUAUCGCCAAGACAGUAGGAGGGGAAUUAUUCUGAGGGGCUUCAGCAAAUGCUUUCCUUUGCUGAUAAAAAAAAAAAAAAACAGACAAACAGGCUGUGACGGGAACUCAGAGUGCUUGGCUAACAUGCAUGAGGUUCUGGGUUCAAUCCUCAACUCCACAAAACAUGUGAACGACAAAAACCAGCCAGGCAAAUAGGAAUAAACAACCCUAGGCCUAGGUCGAGACAUUUUUUUGUCUGUCUGUCUGUGCUGCCCAGAGAGGCUGCAAGCACCAAGGAACUCUGGGAAAGGCAAGCCAGAGGGUAAACUAAUGGGCUGGGGAGGGUAGAGCGCAGGGAUGCAGGUUGUAAGGGUCCUUGUAGCUGAGCCAGUCAGUUAAUCUAAUCAGCCCCCAACGGCCAUACCUUCUCGUUAAAAAAAAUAAUAAACCUCUUCAAAUGUAAGCUAUUCUCGCUCGGCCCUUCUGUUAUUCAGCUGAACACGUCUGAGUUGGCGGCGUUUGCUCGCUGCCGACCAGAUCCGUCUCCCCACCCUUUCCUUGUUCUGUGUUGCUGGAACUGACCCUUAGAGGCUGUUUCCCAGUUCCCGUGCCAGUUGGCUUCUAGCUGUGUGCAGCUCGUGGGAAGCACUGAGAGACCCGGAGGAAGGAAGGAGCCAAGGUGUUUCUGCUCCUCUGCUCCUGGCAGUGACUCCAUCUCUUCCCUGGUGUUGCCCUGGGAACUACCCAUUGUGAGCUCUGCUCUCCGCAGUGGACCUGGGCCUGUUUUCCCGGCCGAAUCAAUACUUCAGGUGAUAGGAGGCAAGCGAGCAAGAAACACGGAGAGAGGGCUUCUUCCCCAAAGAGAAGACGCUGAGCUACUUUGCACAGCAAGUGUAAAUUCUCCCCUCGCACCUCUGCAGAUACCGCCUGCCCAGUGAACCCAGUUACUAGGAUACUCCCCUAGGACAAGUUCUGACAGAUAGACUCAGCCCAGGGGCGCGUCGUCUCUCUCUGCGAGAAGCGGCACUUACCUUCUGUGCGUUCAGCGGUGUGGUUCCUGAACUGGGCUCACUCUGCAAGCUCAUUUUGACUCCUGAAAUGAUGAGUUUGACGAAGGAUAUUCACACGGUUGCUCACUGUGUGGACACGAGAGACCUGGUCCCAAAUCCACUUUCCUGUGGUUAGAAGAAGAGCACUGGAACACGUUCCAUAUUCCCUUGAAUAUCUGCAUUGUUUCACUGUCCAUCUUCUUACAUAGAACAAAG